rnacentral:RNase_P_RNA from 1 species
GGCAAGCAAGGGGACCGUCGCUGGGAUCUGUAUCCCAGAGGAACUUCCCGACUCCCUGCCCUAACAGGCAAGGUCACUGGACGAAACAGUAAGUCCAGGCAGGGUGAACCCUGACGACAACUGCAACAGUGAACGAACCAGCCAGCAGGGAUCAGCCUCCGGCUGUACCUGUCGGUGAUGGGUGAAAAGGUGGUGUAAGAGACCACCAGCGUCGUCGGUGACGGCGGCGGCUAGGCGAAUGUCUGACUGGGAGCAAGGCAGGUGGGAUGGGUUCUCCAGCUAGAAUCCAUUCCUGUCGCAGUGAUGACCCCAAGAGGGAUAACGCCCCUGGCGGUAGUCAUCACCAGGGCGAUCAGUCCUGAGACAGAUGGCGGUCGAAACAGAAUCGGGGGUACACCUGCUUGCCCGCU